UGGUCUAUCGGCAGAUGAUAUGAAGCUGAAGCGUAGGCGGUCGUUGGAAGUUGUGGAGAGAGAAGCGAUGUAGGAGGAAUAGCUUGUUGUUUGGAAUCCGUGCAUGGAAGGGAUGAUGAUGACGGUGAUGGAGAGAUGAUCAUCGUUGUCAAGGAGGAGCUUAGCAACCUCCACUAGUGGCCGGAGGUGGCCGUCACCAGUUGAUGGUAUGAGGACUAGCUCCAGUUUCAUUUUGUGGUUUUUGAAAAAUAGUUGAGAGAGAAAGGUAUGGCCUAAUUAGUGAAAUACUUUUCUUCACAGUUAGAUAGUUGUACGAGCAUAUGGCUUCUUAAAUACAACAUUCUACCUGUCAACAAAAAUCUUAUGAUUCAAUCACUAGCUGCCAUUUGUCUAAUAUCCAUUGGCGACGAAUGCCAAGCCAAUAUAAUUUUAUUUUCUUCCCUUUGAGGGCUGCCUUUGAUUUCGUUGCUACGUUUGAAAUUGUUUUGCAGAGACGAAUCACAAUUCGAUGAGCUGAUGGGCUUUCCGAUAUCUAGAUUUUGAGAUUUUGGGCCUAGGAUGAUAUUUGCAUGAUUGCAUCGUUUGAGGUUUUCUGGUUGAAAGUUAAACCAAAUGCAAAUCCCUCAUUUCUGAGUUUUUUUUUCUUCUCCUAGCAGCAGGGUUUUUAAAACCGGACCGACCGAUAGUUAAACCGGUUCGACCGUGAACCCGUUACAUAGCCGGGUUGGAUCUAAUAAUUGGGUCGGACAUGAACAAAUCAUAUAGCUGGAUUGGAUCUGAAAGUUAUUAAACUGAUAAAAACCAUAAAACUAUCAAAAAUCUAUAAACCAUCCAUAUAAACAUAAAACUAGUUUAUAUUUAUAAUUUUUUACGUUUUAAAUUCAUUUAUAUUUUAACUAUAUAUGUAUCAAUAUUUAUUAACAUUACUUUUAAAUUUAUACACUAGAAAUAUAUUACACCAGAUUACUGAACCAGGUUUGAUCCGGUCGAACCAUAUUGAACUGUGACCCAAAAAUUAUCCGAUUCAGCUUCGGGUCCGGUUUUAAAAACACUGCUUAGCAGAUUUUAUGAUAUAUAUAUAUAUGUAUUUAGUUGAAAAUAUUUUAAUUAGAUUCGAAAUAAACCAAAAAAUCUAGAUUUGGCAUGUAAAUAUGUAAUACGAAAAAAUUGACUAGUUAUUUAUACAUAACUCUUUUUGGUAUUGUACAACAAAGCUUUUGAUUGGUAGAACAUUUAUAAAACAUCAUGUUCUUUCAUUAUCUAAUCAACUGUUAUUAAAUUAUCAUUUUGAAAAUAGUUAGAGAAUACAAAUCCUCUUCAAGUACUCUGCGCUCAAUGUUUCAUGCUAUUUUGUUUUCUUUCUGACAAUUUCUUUCAAAAUUUGUUGUACUGAAUCAAAAAAAUGAACGCAUUAAUGAUCGGAAUGCUCACUUGCACCUCGCUCAUUUGUUUCUUGAAAAGAUUUUAUACUUUUCCAUCAACUCCUUCUCAAACUUUGCGGAGAAAUGAAGCUUAAAUUCAUAAGGAGGAGGUAUAAAUGAAGUCUCUUUUGAUGAUGAAGUUGCCCAUUUCUUAUGUGAAUCCUUUUGUUCUCCUCAAACAACCUUUUCCUUGCCUUUUGAUUCCACUAUCUUCUCAAGAAUUUCUUGAUUCUUUUCUUCACUCAAAAUAUUAUAGUAUCGUCAUAUAAAUUGAUGAUCAUCUCCUUCUUUGUUUGUUAUUGUCUUUAAUAAAAUUCGAGAAAGUUUAUCCUUCCACUCCUAACUGCAGUGUUUUUGAAACCGGACCGACUCGGUAGUUGAACCGGAUUCGAGCAUAACCAGUUACAUAGUCAGGUUGGGUCUAAUAAUUGGGUCGGACAUGAACCAAUUAUAUAGCUGGAUUAGAUCUGAGAGUUAUUAAAAUUAUAAAAUCCAUAACACUAUCAAAAAUAUAUAAAUCAUUCAUAUAAACAUAAAACUAGUUUAUAUUUAUAAUUUUUAUGUUUUAAAUUCAUUUAUGUUUUAAAUAUGUAUCAUAUUUACUAACAUUAUUUUUAAAUUUAUAGACUAGAAAUAUAUUACACCAGAUUAUUGAAUCAGGUUUGAUCCGGUCGAACCAUAUUGAACUGUGACCCAAAAAUUAUCCCGUUCAGCUUCCGAUCCGGUUUUAAAAGCACUGCAUAACUGUAAUAUAGUUGAGGAUUUUCUUUGGGUUUUGUUCCGACUUACCACCACAAUCACUAUAGCACCCAAACUGAUCAAAAUAUAUGCAUUAAUUAAUUUUUACCAUGUUUUCCCUCUAGGUCAACCUAAAGUUCGAAAGUUUUAAGAAGGUUAUAAAUAGGUUUCUGAGGCAACAAUAAAUACAACUAUCUAAUCCUAGAUUUCUUAUUUCCUCUCAUUAUAAGAUCCAUAUUUUGUAAUUCUUUCUCUAGUAUAUUGUAUUACUUUUGAUUUAUCUUGAUUAUAUCUCUUCUAUUCCUUUUAAACACAAAUCUUCAAAGAACUAUAAAAAUACUUUGUAUGUUCAUGUCUUUUGGUAAGUAGUCUUUUGAGUUUUUGGGCUGGGUAGAUUAAGGUGGCUAUGUGUUAGAAUAUAAUGCUUAGGGUUUAGUUUACAAUAAUAAUUGUUUGAUUGAUGUGUUUAUUGCACUUGAUUUCUCUUAAUCUAAAUGUUAAAUACUUUCAUGUUUGAAAUAUGUUUGAUAUAAUGGUCGAAUGAAUCAAUUAAUUAAUUAAGUGUUUAGUAUAUUUAGCCAAUGUAAGUUGAUUUUAAGAUGUUUAGUGGUUAUUAAGAUUUAAGAGUAAUGCAUUUUAACUUGUGAUUGACCAAUGGAAAUUUGUGUUAACUGCAUGAUAGAGGAUAAAAUUAAAUUAGUGAUUUUAUACCUAAAAAUUAACAAUGGUUGAUUGUGUUAGCAUCUUAUGAUAGUAUUUGAUCACCCAAGUGAAUACCAUAAACAGUAAUGUUUGUAAUUCUUGCAUUUUUGUUGGUUUAACUUUUGAUUAACUUUUUAGAGUUGUUUGUCAUCAAUAAUUUCCUUCUAUUUUUCUAGUAAGUUACUUACUUUUUGUUGAACAAUAUUGUUUUUAAUGAAAAAAAUUAGUUCCUUUUUAUGUAUUAUUUAAUGUGUUUUAAGUAGUUUAUAUUUGGAUACAUGUGUCGUCAGUAUAAAUGUAUUUGAAGUGUAAAAUGAUAAAAUAACAUCAAUGUAUUUAGAAAUAUUAAGAAAAAUUAAGAUAAACUUCACUAUGAAUAAAAACACACUAUACAAUCUAUUCUUUAUAUUUAUAUAAACUUUAUAUACAAUAAUUAUUAAUUUUAUGGCUAUAUGAGAACUAUAUAUAUUUACAUAAAGUUUUUUGAAAACAACUAUUGCAUUGUGUCAUAUUUUACAUUGGCCCAACUUGAAACUGAUUUUUUUUAUUAAUUUAUUAUAUUUAUUAAUUUAUCAAGUAUUAAUUAAUGGAAUUUCUACUGUAUUUGUUUUAACAUAAAGACUUUUUUUUCAACCAAAUGAUUUAUUAAACUUAAAAUGGGUUUGAGACCCAGAGAGCUUGUUUGGCUACAGAGUCAGCCAUAACAUUAAACGGUCUAGAAAUAAACUUAAACACAAUUGACUUAAAUGAUCGAGACCGAAGUUAGAUAUCUCGUAAAACACCAUAGAUCUCCAGCUUCAUGUCUACACCACGAGAAAGAGCAAAGUUUAUUCACACUAAAAAUAACGCAGUUGCUAAAAAAAACUUUAAAACGCCGACCGACCUGAAGUGUGAUUCGUAAAAGCUUUCUGAUUUCUGGAAAUCACGCAUUAAAUCAAAGCUUUUGUAAAGUUUAGAUGAAAAAGAUAAAUAAUCGUUUUGGAAAGAUCUUGAUUAAAGAUUUAACAUCUCCCAAAUUUAUGAGUCAUAUGAUAUAGCCAUUAUUUUGUUUAACAAAAGCAAUAGGAAAUACGUAUGGUAGAAAGCUUCUGUUUAUAUGAAUUGAAUAAAUAAGUUUUUAUUAUUGUAAAUAUAUAUUUUAUUUAGAGUAUUUCUAGUGUAGUUAUGUGUGAAUUUAUUUGAAAGAAUUGAUUGAAAUGCAAAAUUUUGAAAUAAAUUGUUCCAUUUUAUAUGUUUAUAACUAUUUUUAAUAAAUUAUUAUUUUGUAAUUAUGUUUGUGAAUGAACAUGUUGAAGAAUAAAUUGAUAAUUCCAUAGAGAUAGUUACUUGUUAAGUUUCUAGAUUGCAAAGAAUUUCAAAUCUAAAAUUCCUUUAUUUUGAAACUAAAAUCUUUCAUUAAUCGAUGAAAAUUUGGUCUGAUCUUCUUCUGUUUCUUUUUCUUUGUCUUCUCUGGCUCAAUCCGUCCCGCAUAUGACAUGUUUUCAGUCGGACCGAUAAAAAUCAUCUUUGAAACAUACUGAAUAAUAAACCGACUCAUUAACAAUCAGACAUGAUUGGCAUGUUCCGCCACACAGCACAAGCUGGAGAAGAAGAGCUCUGGAGAUAGUGGAGUACCGUACAGAGCCAGAAUUAUUUUUAAUAUAGGGUUAACAUAUUAUGUGUUUUAAAAACAUGAAGCGAAAACUGCAAGAUGGUGACGACUAACAUAGUGUUGCAAAUAUAAUCUGCAAAAUUCACAUAAGCAUUUGACCAAAACAAUUUACAGAAGCAUGAAUACAUCUUCUAUGGUGGUUCGUCAAAACAUUAAGAAUAUAUACCAUCGGACUCACGACUAAGACAUUAAUGUAUUUUAUUUGAAUAAUAUCUUAGGUAAUGUAUAAAAUAAUAAACAUAACUUCGUAUAUUUAGAUGGAUGCGUUGCCAAUUUUAACUAGACAUAAAAUUUGGUUGAUAUAAUAAGACUAUGCUAUAACCUUUGGUUGUAUAUAUAUAUAUAUCCCCUAUAUAUUAUUUGUGAAACAUUACAACUUCUUUUUGUAUCACGUGUCAUCACUAGAAUGAUUCUUAGAAUUAUUAGAGAAAUAUGUUGGUCCAUCUAAUUAUAUAAUAAACUUUUUAUUAAACUAACCAUAAAUUCAUUAUUAAUGUCAUUUAUUAUUUCUUUAAAUAAAGAUUACGGAAUUUCCUAAUAGGGGUAAAGUAUAUAUGACAAUUAAUGAUUUUGAAUAAUAAAGAUCCGGCUCAGCGUCAGGAGAGUUUGGUCUAUCGGCAGAUGAUAUGAAGCUGAAGCGUAGGCGGUCGUUGGAAGUUGUGGAGAGAGAAGCGAUGUAGGAGGAAUAGCUUGUUGUUUGGAAUCCGUGCAUGGAAGGGAUGAUGAUGACGGUGAUGGAGAGAUGAUCAUCGUUGUCGAGGAGGAGCUUAGCAACCUCCACUAGUGGCCGGAGGUGGCCGUCACCAGUUGAUGGUAUGAGGACUAGCUCCAGUUUCAUUUUGUGGUUUUUGAAAAAUAGUUGAGAGAGAAAGGUAUGGUCUAAUUAGUGAAAUACUUUUCUUCACAGUUAGAUAGUUGU
rnacentral:lncRNA from 1 species